GUGAGAUCAUGCCCUGAGCCAAAGGCCGACGUUUAACCAACUGAGCCACCCAGGCUCCCUGUAUUGGUAUUCCUGUCUCCCAGAAAACUCGGCCCUAACUGCCUUCUGUCCCAUCUGGGGGCCUCUCCAGCUUAUCCCCCAAAGUCUGUGCCUUCCAAAGAUGUCAGCCUCUCCUGAACCCAGACCAGCUAGACCCAGGGGAAUGCAACAAUGGGGAGGAUUCCCAGGAGCCACUGACUGGCCAGGACAACGGCAGCCAUGGCGAUCCAGCGAUGGAAGUCCACGGCGGCGUCGAAGGCCAGGAGAAGAAUCACCGGGUCAGAACUUCAGAGGAUGGGGAUGAAUCCUGGAACCCACCCCUGCCCACAGAACCUGCCCAUAAAUCUGGUCAGAGAGAUGCCAGGGGACCUGGACAAGGGGACCUGCCAAUGCCCCCAUUCCUGCUCACCGUUCCCCAGGAGUCCGAGUGAUGAAUGAGACUCGACAGCUGAUGUUUGGUUUAAAGAUGUCUCCAACACCUGGAGAGAAGAACAAGAGUCUGGACAGGCUUCCCCACAAGGGUAGAAGAAUGGUAGACUGCCCCCCUCUCUUCUCCGGGAAGGCUGCCACAGCAAUUGCCAGUGACUUUGCCAUGUUGUCAUCUCUUGUUCCAGCCUUGUUCCCCUCACUGCCCACAAUGGGCACCCAUUGCAAACAAGGGGGUAACUUGGUAUAAUUAGAAAACUGCAGGCAGAUGCAAUCCUGCAUCCUUUGUAUAAAGAAAAUAACGCCUCUUCCUCUGACUAGCUACACCCCAGACCAAUGUGCAUGAGCUGAGUAAGUGGCAUGUAGGCUGGAUUUCAGACCACCCUUGACCUCUCAAUAGGCAUGUUUGUGCAGUGCACAUGUAUGUGACACCCUUGACUACACGUGCCUGGCUCUAUACUAGGCACAAAAGACUUGAAGAGAAAUAAAACCUGACUCCUAUCCA